rnacentral:misc_RNA from 1 species
GAAUGCGAUAAUUAAUGUGAAUUGCAGAAUUCAGUGAAUCAUCGAGUCUUUGAACGCACAUUGCGCCCCCUGGUAUUCCGGGGGGCAUGCCUGUCCGAGCGUCAUUGCUGCCCUCAAGCACGGCUUGUGUGUUGGGCUUCCGUCCCUGGCAACGGGGACGGGCCCAAAAGGCAGUGGCGGCACCAUGUCUGGUCCUCGAGCGUAUGGGGCUUUGUCACCCGCUCCCGUAGGUCCAGCUGGCAGCUAGCCUCGCAACCAAUCUUUUUAACCAGGUUGACCUCGGAUCAGGUAGGGAUACCCGCUGAACUUAAGC